UCUUGACGUGGCGUGAUGUCGGAGGCACCGCUCCAUCGCGGCAUCGACCGUGGUGACGGCCCGCCACUUGCCGACGCCGUGCGCCGCUCGCUUGCCGAAGCCACCACCGCCACUCGCUUGCGGAUGCUGCCGAAGGUCCACACAUUGGAGGGCAGGGAAGGAGAUGGCCCGGGAUAAAAUCAGAGAUGGUGAUCGGAUUUGGCGCGAGAAAAGCAAGGGGGGUGCCGGAGGCGACGAUGCGGGGAGGACAAAUUUGCAUGCGUACGAGAGCAGGAGAUCCGAUGAAGGUUGUCGCAUGGUUGAGAGAACAAGAUCACUAUGAGUAUUGGACAGCCAAAUGUUGACGGAGUGAACGAGACGGAAAACGAGAACG